GGCGAUUGGUUGAAGAUAAGGAGGAGCAUGGAUUAAAUAAUAACGUUAUGGUUCCUCCAACAAAGAUCGAAGUGAAUAAAGACUUCAGAAAGCAAGAGGAUAGCACGGAGAAUAGUUUUGGAUAUAAUAUUGGCUAUUCUAUUGGAUAUACCAUUGGAUGUGCUAUUGAGAUAGAAAGGCAUUGAAAAAAGCCGGAUCUUUCUUCAAGGCAGUAUGGAAACCAGUCAAGAGAUCAGCGCAAAAGGUGUGGAAAAACAUGAAGACUGGAGAAACUGAAUACGUUCAGUUUGAAUAAGGAUCUCUUUUUCUCCAUCAUUGAAUCAAGUAUAGGAUUUAUCUGCUUGAUUUCGUCCGACUUCGUCUCGGAUUUUAGAAGAAAUUUAGAGAUUUUCAUCUCUAUGCAGUGUACAUACACUGUUUUCUUUAUUUGUUAUGUUUACUGUUUUGUUUGUGUUUGUUCGUUUUCAAUUU
rnacentral:lncRNA from 1 species